rnacentral:rRNA from 1 species
UAUGUAGGGUGCGAGCGUUGUCCGGAAUUAUUGGGCGUAAAGAGCUUGUAGGCGGUCUGUCGCGUCUGCUGUGAAAAUCCGGGGCUCAACCCCGGACUUGCAGUGGGUACGGGCAGACUAGAGUGUGGUAGGGGAGACUGGAAUUCCUGGUGUAGCGGUGAAAUGCGCAGAUAUCAGGAGGAACACCGAUGGCGAAGGCAGGUCUCUGGGCCACUACUGACGCUGAGAAGCGAAAGCAUGGGGAGCGAACAGG